GAAAAUUGUAGCCUAUGAGGAUGAGAACCUCCGGGGGCAGGGAGGUUCGACUCGAGCGAAGCGAGAGAACGUUGCGCCAGCAACGGCCCGCAGGGCGAGCCACGAAGUGGCGAGUAAUCCUCUAUCACCGACCA
rnacentral:sRNA from 1 species